GACUUGUCUUUCAAAGCACUAGCAACCAUUAGCUUCCUCUUUCUCCGUAUCUUCCUUCUCAUUCAUUCAUUGGCGUACCCACCACCGGUGUCAACUAUGGCAUACGUGGCGCCUCCACCGCCAGGCUAUCCCAUAAGGGAUGGCCAACAGCCUGCGCAGAAUGCCGUCCCAAUCGAGACCAAGACUAGGGGCCGCGCCUGCACCUUAUUGAAUUUCCUACGCUGUGGGUUGGAAUGUUGCGGCCAGAUGCAGGGAUAAGUUCCUAGCAUUUUCCCGGAAAAGGAUCGCCUUGAUGUAGUUUUAAACUUGGUGUGGUCUUAUACUUGGUUUGAUGUUUAUGUUUCGAUCUGCAGACUCUUCUAAGACCCUCUUUAUGCUGACAAAAAGGGGGAGACUUUGCAGAUUUCCUUUGCAAAUUUCCUUUUAUGUGUGUGCUUUUGUGUAUUUGUAAACUCAUGGGUUGAUAAUGGUAAAAUGCCUGCUUACUCA